UUUCUUCUUCUCUGCCUUUUUCUUCUACAAAGUUAGCUUUCUCCACAACUUUCUUCGAGAGUCUACACUCAGAUGCAUAGUGACCGAUCUUGUUGCAGUUGAAUCACUUGAUUUGUGAUUUGUCACACCUCGACCAUGAAUUUCCUCUUCCACGACCUCUUGUUGCUUGUGGAUUCCAACUUCUUUCUCCAUUAUUAGAGUAGUUGUUGUAACUGCCUCUUCCUUCUCCUCCAUGUCCUCGUCCACGCCCACGAUCUUGGCCACGACCUCGUCCUCUUUGGCUCUUGUAAUUCG
rnacentral:lncRNA from 1 species